CAGAGUCCAAAAAUUCCCUCCCUGACUUUGAAAAAUCCGGUUUCCUGAUUGGUCCUCUGGUCAGGUGUUUGGUUCCCUUGGUUGACCCUUUACAGGUAAAAGAAACAUUAACCCUUAGCUAUCUGUUUGUGACAACCCCCCCUUUCUCUCGCAGGCUGCGGGUGAACUCAGAGGGCAGCCGGGGGCGCCAGCGACCCGGGACCAGCCCAAUUCGCAAACUGGCUUCUCCCUUCAUCGACUCGGGGCGUCUGCCCUUUGCCCUUCAGCCCCCCAGCGCCCCACGGGCUGUCGACAGGACGGAGCGGGGGGCUCUGGGGGUCGGACCCCCUGGUGGAGGUCACCCCCAUAGUGGAGAGAAACAAGGGGCCCCAGAGAAGCACGUGGAGAUGGAUAAGGCCGUGACGCGGAACAUGGACUCCGUGUUCAAGGAGCUGCUCAGCAAAAGUGGGGGAAAGCGGGGAGGGGCAACGCUGUCCCCGAGCCCCCUGAGGCCCUAGAUCCCCCCCACCUGCCCUGUCCCCCCCCCAAACCUGCCUUCAGUCUGUACAAGACAGGGCUCUUCAAAGCCACCGGGAGUGGCCCCCGAUAUCCUCCAGGCCAAGCUCGCCCCACAGCUCCUUGUGCCCAGGGGGGUCCCUUUGGGGGUUCCCGGCCCCUGCUUUGAGCACAGCUUUGUACCCAGGGGAGGGGGAAGCUGCUGUCUGUUGGGGGUCCCCCACCCCAAAUAAUGUUUGCUUAAAUUCUCUGUGUCUCUGUUAGAGCCCGGACGCCUGGGUUCUCUCCUCAGCUCUGCGAGGGGAGUGGAGGGGCUGGAAGCCUGGACUCCUGGGUUCUAUCUCCCCAAUUUUCAAGCUGUCCUCCACCUCCCCGUUACCCCUCAAUCUGCGUCGGAGGGCCCCACCUGCAGAUAACAUGAUCCUAGCCCCACCCCUGACCCAUUGGGGCUCCCCCCAUCUGCCCCCCGGCAAUGAACCCGAUUUUUACACGCAGU
rnacentral:lncRNA from 1 species